rnacentral:rRNA from 1 species
CCCUUAGAUGUUCUGGGCCGCACGCGCGCUACACUGACGAUGGCAACGAGUUUUUCCUUCGCCGAAAGGUGUGGGUAAUCUUUUGAAACAUCGUCGUGCUGGGGAUAGAUCAUUGCAAUUUUUGAUCUUGAACUAGGAAUUCCUAGUAAGCGCGUGUCAUCAGCUCGCGUUGAUUACGUCCCUGCCCUUUGUACACACCGCCCGUCGCUACUACCGAUUGAAUGGUUUAGUGAGGACUCCUGAUUGGCGCCGCCGCCCCGGCAACGGAGCAGCGGACUGCCGAAAAGUUGUUCAAACUUGAUCAUUUAGAGGAAGUAAAAGUCGUAACA